GAGUUCUGGCUUAAGCACAGUCAAAAUCAGAGGGUUGCAAGGCCCUAUGGAAUAACCAGCACUUUUGCACCCUUUCUCUUAGCCUGGGUAAAGUUUGAAUCCUGGAACUGGGCUUUGUGGAAUAGCACAGUGGACAUUUUCAGGCCUGCUGUGUUGCCUCUUGUACUACGGAGAGGAGAGUUUCAUUGAAUUUUUUGAGAUAUGACUUUGUACCUGUACAAAUGCCCCACAUGUUAGUUACUCAAUUUUAAAUAGAAGUUUUAUCCUUUUAAGAAGAUCUCUUUCUCCUGUAUAAAUUUGUCACUUGUAUUGAAAUUAUAGAUUCACAAGAUUCAUUAAUUUUGAAAUUGUUCUGCACGUGUAUCCUGAUUCCCAUGGAUGAUUUUCAUCCUCUGCAUUUACUUCAUCGAAAAACAAACAGCUUGGAAAUUACACAUGUGUUUCAAGAAAAGCCCUGAUUUUGCUGCUUCAUGGCUAGGACCAUUCAGGAUAUGAAAUAGGAGGCAUGAAAACAGCUAGAGUUUAAGAUAAGUAAAUGUAGAACUAAUAACAACAAAAAUGCAGCCACUAUCCUCAAAUAAGCAUAGGCUGAGAUGUAUUCCAGAGAAUACCUAUAAAAUAAUUGUUUAAGUUAAAUCCAAAGAAAUUCACUUGCUGAAUUGGAAUGCUGAAUUAAAGACAUCCUAAAAGAGAAAAUUUAAGGUUCUAAGACUUUCCUUGCUCUUUUUAUCAAUAUUGCUUAAAAUGCUACAAGUCUCGUUUUCAUUACAUUAGAUUUCCCAGCACUGAAAGGAAAUCAGUUGCCUGUUCAAAACCAAAAAAUAUAUAUAAAUUGACUAUUUCAUACAGAUAAGAGUAAUUUAAGCCUAAGACCUAACGUAUGGUACUUGUUUUAUUUCAAUUGUCUUCUUUCCUGGCUAACAUUAGAAAAUAUUAAUAUAUUGGUAAUAUUUGACUUUUUGGAAUAUAUUCUGCAAAGCAAUUGUAAUUUCCCCACAUAUUUUUGUAUACAUCAACUAAUGGACAUGCCGAUCCCUAUAUAAGAUGAAAAUAGCUCUCUAACUAUAUAAGUAAAUUAAUAAUGAUCAAAUUCACCCCUGUUUAAUCAUGCAAUUAUCAAGUCGCUAAGAAAGGCUGAAGAGUUAAGUAAGAUAAUAAAGGUAUCCCCAUCCUCUUGGGAAGCUCCAGGAAAGCUAUCAUGUGCUAGCGUGUUGUAUUGAGCUGAGAAAGCAGCCUCAGAAUAACACAGAAUGAAAACCAUCUCUUCUUACAGUUCACCAAGUCGAGGUGCAAAUUAUGGUCACACAUUUCUAAUAUUCCUAUGAUAUGAUUUUGAAUUAUCUACUGGCCCUUUUCACACAUUGGAUUCCACUUGCCUAAUCUCUGUGAUGCAUACCAAAAACUCCAGGAAGCUUAAUCAGCCAAAAGAACUGAGGGGACAAGUCCACUCUAUGGCCAAAUGCAUUAACUGAAAGAGAGCAAUCUUCACUGAAAACCAAAGUUAUUUCAAAGAUUGAGGAUAAACUUCCAAGGAUUAUUAACCUAAUGGCAUAAUUAUUCUGCAUGAUUCUAAAGAUCCUCUCUAAGUUCAUCAAGUCAUCAUGUUUGAACAUUCUAGUGGUCCCUGCAUUACUAGCUGACUGGAGAGUUGAAAGAAAAUGAAGGAGGUUUUGACUGGUCGGUCACACACAGUCUUCACUGAGAAGCUAGUAUUCCUCUUCUUCAACAAAAAAGAAAAUUCAUAAAAUGAAAUCUACAUAAUUGCAUCUCCUAAGGAUUAUUGGAAGACUACAAUAAAGCAUUUUGUCAAAUGAAUGUGCUGAGGUAAAAGAAAAUAAAUAAACAAAUAAUUAAAUGGA
ensembl:lncRNA LINC02329 long intergenic non-protein coding RNA 2329